UACGUAGGGUGCGAGCGUUAAUCGGAAUUACUGGGCGUAAAGCGUGCGCAGGCGGUUUUGUAAGACCGAUGUGAAAUCCCCGGGCUUAACCUGGGAAUGGCAUUUGGGACUGCAAGGCUGGAGUGCGGCAGAGGAGACUGGAAUUCCUGGUGUAGCAGUGAAAUGCGUAGAGAUGCGGAGGAACACCGAUGGCGAAGGCAGCCCCCUGGGCUAGCACUGACGCUCAGGCACGAAAGCGUGGGGAGCAAACAGG
rnacentral:rRNA from 1 species